GUUGUGUUUAUGGUCUCCCAUUAACUCGUGUCGCUGCAUGUGUGUUUUCCCUCUUGACUUUGUAGUUGUUUCCUCUUUCCCCUUUUAUCUGCGACUGUUCAAACAGAGAUUUGGAGAGAGAGAGAGAGAGAGAGAGAGAGGCCAUCUCCAUUCAGAGCUCCCCUUCUCUCGUUGCUUGAGGCGUUCGGUUACUGUUGUCGGCCCACUAGUGGUUAGAGUGCUCUUCCAAGUGGUUUGCAUCUGUUGUUCUCUCUCCUCUCCAUUCAUUGUUCUUUUUCUAGAUCUUGGCGGACGUGAUUCGUGAAUUUUGUGAGUUCUCACCCGUCCAAUCCUAGGUUGUUCAUGUUUUUGCCUUGUUUUUUAGCUCUUCAAAUCGAUUGGAAGGAUCCCUUGCUUCAAGUUUAGAUUGUUGUGGUCGGCUUGCUGGUGGUUGGAGUCUUCUCUUCCCAACGGCUUGCGGCUGAAAACAUCGGUAGAUGCUUAUGGAUGCCUCAAUUUAAAGAGCAGAUCCCGAAGCAAGUGUCAGGGUUGGGGCUGCUGUUGACCUGCCAAUCGCGUCCGGACGAGUCGAGGGGAUCGUCGAUUCUUGAUUGGAACAGCGGUGAGGCGAAGGAGGCAGAAGCUGCGAGGUAGGGGAGGGGAUACGUGCGAGCCGGAAGAGGUGGGGUGCGAGGAGGAAGAAGCAGCCGUGGAGCGGCGGCGGCGGCCAUCGAUUCUCGACGGCGGUGGAAGUACGCUGCGACGCCGCCCUCAGCUCCCUGCAUGAGAAGCUAUGUGGAUGGCCUUUUUUUUAGAAGAAGCUAUGUGGAUGGCCUAAUAGGGUACCAGUGGGCUAAAGGGGCUAGCCCAUUUAAUUUCUUUCUGGUCCAACAGGCUCCCACUAUUGCGUUUAUCAAACUGUUGAAGCAUACUUUUUUACUUAACUUGUCCUAAAUUAUUAUUUUUACGAGAAUGAGAACGCUUUGAGAUA